rnacentral:rRNA from 1 species
CCCAUUAGUUUUUGUUCCUGGCUCAGGACGAACGCGGGCGGCGUGCUUAACACAUGCAAGUCGAACGAUGAACCGCUUUCGGGCGGGGAUUAGUGGCGAACGGGUGAGUAACACGUGGGCAAUCUGCCCUGCACUCUGGGACAAGCCCUGGAAACGGGGUCUAAUACCGGAUAUGACUGUCCGCCGCAUGGUGGAUGGUGUAAAGCUCCGGCGGUGCAGGAUGAGCCCGCGGCCUAUCAGCUUGUUGGUGAGGUAGUGGCUCACCAAGGCGACGACGGGUAGCCGGCCUGAGAGGGCGACCGGCCACACUGGGACUGAGACACGGCCCAGACUCCUACGGGAGGCAGCAGUGGGGAAUAUUGCACAAUGGGCGAAAGCCUGAUGCAGCGACGCCGCGUGAGGGAUGACGGCCUUCGGGUUGUAAACCUCUUUCAGCAGGGAAGAAGCGAGAGUGACGGUACCUGCAGAAGAAGCGCCGGCUAACUACGUGCCAGCAGCCGCGGUAAUACGUAGGGCGCAAGCGUUGUCCGGAAUUAUUGGGCGUAAAGAGCUCGUAGGCGGCUUGUCACGUCGGUUGUGAAAGCCCGGGGCUUAACCCCGGGUCUGCAGUCGAUACGGGCAGGCUAGAGUUCGGUAGGGGAGAUCGGAAUUCCUGGUGUAGCGGUGAAAUGCGCAGAUAUCAGGAGGAACACCGGUGGCGAAGGCGGAUCUCUGGGCCGAUACUGACGCUGAGGAGCGAAAGCGUGGGGAGCGAACAGGAUUAGAUACCCUGGUAGUCCACGCCGUUAACGGUGGGCACUAGGUGUGGGCAACAUUCCACGUUGUCC